GACGAACGCUGGCGGCGUGCUUAACACAUGCAAGUCGAACGGAAAGGCCCUGCUUUUGUUGGGUGCUCGAGUGGCGAACGGGUGAGUCACACGUGAGUAACCUGCCAUUGCCUUUGGGAUUAAUUCAGCUAACUGGGGCUACUACCGGAUAGGAGCUCCUGCUGCAUGGUGGGGGUAGGAAUGUUUCGGCGGUUGGGGAUGGACCCGCGGCUUAUCUGCUUGUUGGUGGGGUAGUGGCUUACCAAGGCUUUGACGGGUAGCCGGCCUGAGAGGGUGACCGGCCACAUUGGGACUGGGAUACGGCCCAGACUCCUACGGAAGGAAGCAGUGGGGAAUAUUGCACAAUGGGCGGAGGCCUAAGGCAGCAACGCCGCGUGCGGGAUGACGGCCUUCGGUUGGUAAACCGCUUUCGCCUGGGACGAAGCGGGAGUGACGGUAAUGGGUAAAGAAGCACCGGCUAACUACGUG
rnacentral:rRNA from 1 species